CCGCCCCCAUAGUUGGGAACAUAGGGGGAACCACUGAUAUGACAUAAUAUAGUAGAACCAAUAUAGGAGACAUGGCAUUACACCUUUAUUUCUAAUAUUAUAUAACAUAAUUUCAUAUACAGUGUUUUCCCUACCAUUGUAUCCCCCAGCGCGCCCCAACACCCAAGCCCCCUCCGAUACGUCCGCCCCCAUAGUUGGGAACAUAGGGGAAACACUGAUAUGACAUAAUAUAGUAGAACCAAUAUAGGAGACAUGGCAUUACACCUUUAUUUCUAAUAUUAUAUAACUUAAUAUCAUAUACAGUUUUUUCCCUACCAUUGUAUCCCCCAGCGCGCCCCAACACCCACGCCCCCUCCGAUACGUCCGCCCCCAUAGUUGGGAACAUAGGGGAAACACUGAUAUGACAUAAUAUAGUGGAACCAAUAUAGGAGACAUGGCAUUACACCUUUAUUUCUAAUAUUAUAUAACUUAAUAUCAUAUACAGUGUUUUCCCUACCAUUGUAUCCCCCAGCGCGCCCCAACACCCACGCCCCCCUCCGAUACGUCCGCCCCCAUAGUUGGGAACAUAGGGGAAACACUGAUAUGACAUAAUAUAGUAGAACCAAUAUAGGAGACAUGGCAUUACACCUUUAUUUCUAAUAUUAUAUAACAUAAUUUCAUAUACAGUGUUUUCCCUACCAUUGUAUCCCCCAGCGCGCCCCAACACCCACGCCCCCCUCCGAUACGUCCGCCCCCAUAGUUGGGAACAUAGGGGAAACACUGAUAUGACAUAAUAUAGUAGAACUAAUAUAGGAGACAUGGCUUUAUACUUACUUAGAACAUAAUAUCGUAGAACGAAUAUCAUAAAAUAGCAUCGUAUUCCUUAUUUCUAAUACAAUUUAACUUCAUAUUGUAGAACUAAAAUAAAAUAGCCUCGUAUUCCAUAUGUCUAAUAUAACUAACUUAAAACCGUAGAACUAAUAUCAUAAAAUAGCAUCGUAUUCCUUAUUUCUAAUACAAUUCAACUUCAUAUCGUAGAACUAAAAUAAAAUAGCCUCGUAUUCCAUAUGUCUAAUAUAACUAACUUAAUACCGUAGAACUAAUAUCAUAAAAUAGCAUCGUAUUCCAUAUUUCUAAUAUAAUUUAACUUAAUAUCAUAGAAAUAAUAUCAUAAAAUAGCAUCGUAUUCCAUAUUUCUAAUACCAUUUAACAUAAUAUAGAACUAAUAUCGUAAAUAUACCAUUAUAUUUCAAUAUAUGACGUAAUAUGUUAUUACAAUAUCAUAAAUAGAAUUUAACAGAUGCUAAUUUUACCGCUAGCCAUGCCUUUAAUACAAAGUAUAGAGGGGUCAUGUGUGUCUACCUUGCAUAAUGUAUAACUUGAGAAAUUGAACCGAGAACCCAGUUUCCAAUGACGACCGAAUGAAACUGUUGGACUACCUUCACAAGUUGUUACUAUUGAUUUGUCAAACCGGCUGUGUGAGGUUAUCCGAACAUCGGACAAAUGGCCGGGUUCAGGGUAUGUGCGCAGAUACAGAAAUCCCCUCAUCUUCAUUUGUGGUCUUGCAUUCGCCAAAGAAAGAAAUGGAUGAGAUGUAAAAGAUUCCUCAUUCCUCACGCCAAGGGGGCCGCCCCACAAUCAGCACAAAAUCCCCCCCACCAGGCAUGGACCGGCUCCUCAUUCAUUGGUGAGUAACAUUCCCUGUGCUCUAGGAAGUGUUUUUUUCCAGCUUCAUGGACUGGACAGUAGCACGGCAGGGCCUCUGAGGAAUGAGGGAUCUUUUUCAUCUCAUCCAUUUCCUUCUUUGGCUAAUGCAAGGCUGCAGAUGAAGAUGACGGGAUUUCUGUAUCUGUGCACAUGCCCUGGAUCUGGCCAUUAGGCUGGUGUUUAGAUGAACUCCCACGGCUGGGUUGACGAAUCAACAGUGACAACUUGUGACGGUAGACCGAUAGUUUCAUUCGUCCGUCGUUGGAAAUUGGGAUCUCGGUUUGAUUUUUCAAGUUAUGCAUUAGGAAAGGUAGACACACAUGUCCUCCUUUAUAGUUUCAAUGAUGCCAUGCCAAUAUUGCAGUAAUGCCAUGCCAAUAUACAUAACAUAUUAUGUUACUUCGUAUUUGUAAUAUCAUAGAUAAUAACAAAAUAAUAUAGGACUAAUAUCAUAUAGCAUUAUGUAGGAGUAAUAUAACAAACAUGUCAUCAUACUUAAUAUUUCUAAUAUUAUUUAACUUAAUAUCAUAUACAGUGUUUUCCCUACCAUUGUAUCCCCCAGCGCGCCCCAACACCCACGCCCCCCUCCGAUACGUCCGCCCCCAUAGUUGGGAACAUAGGGGAAACACUGAUAUGACAUAAUAUAGUAGAACCAAUAUAGGAGACAUGGCAUUACACCUUUAUUUCUAAUAUUAUAUAACAUAAUUUCAUAUACAGUUUUUUCCCUACCAUUGUAUCCCCCAGCGCGCCCCAACACCCACGGACCCUCCGAUACGUCCGCCCCCAUAGUUGGGAACAUAGGGGAAACACUGAUAUGACAUAAUAUAGUGGAACCAAUAUAGGAGACAUGGCAUUACACCUUUAUUUCUAAUAUUAUAUAACUUAAUAUCAUAUACAGUGUUUUCCCUACCAUUGUAUCCCCCAGCGCGCCCCAACACCCACGGACCCUCCGAUACGUCCGCCCCCAUAGUUGGGAACAUAGGGGAAACACUGAUAUGACAUAAUAUAGUAGAACCAAUAUAGGAGACAUGGCAUUACACCUUUAUUUCUAAUAUUAUAUAACUUAAUAUCAUAUACAGUGUUUUCCCUACCAUUGUAUCCCCCAGCGCGCCCCAACACCCACGCCCCCCUCCGAUACGUCCGCCCCCAUAGUUGGGAACAUAGGGGAAACACUGAUAUGACAUAAUAUAGUAGAACCAAUAUAGGAGACAUGGCAUUACACCUUUAUUUCUAAUAUUAUAUAACAUAAUUUCAUAUACAGUGUUUUCCCUACCAUUGUAUCCCCCAGCGCGCCCCAACACCCACGCCCCCCUCCGAUACGUCCGCCCCCAUAGUUGGGAACAUAGGGGAAACACUGAUAUGACAUAAUAUAGUAGAACUAAUAUAGGAGACAUGGCUUUAUACUUACUUAGAACAUAAUAUCGUAGAACGAAUAUCAUAAAAUAGUAUCGUAUUCCUUAUUUCUAAUAUAAUUUAACUUAAUAUCGUAGAACUAAAAUAAAAUAGCCUCGUAUUCGAUAUGUCUAAUAUAACUAACUUAAUACCGUAGAACUAAUAUCAUAAAAUAGCAUCGUAUUCCUUAUUUCUAAUACAAUUUAACUUCAUAUCGUAGAACUAAAAUAAAAUAGCCUCGUAUUCCAUAUGUCUAAUAUAACUAACUUAAUACCGUAGAACUAAUAUCAUAAAAUAGCAUCGUAUUCCAUAUUUCUAAUAUAAUUUAACUUAAUAUCAUAGAAAUAAUAUCAUAAAAUAGCAUCGUAUUCCAUAUUUCUAAUACCAUUUAACAUAAUAUAGAACUAAUAUCGUAAAUAUAGCAUUAUAUUUCAAUAUAUGACGUAAUAUGUUAUUACAAUAUCAUAAAUAGAAUUUAACAGAUGCUAAUUUUACCGCUAGCCAUGCCUUUAAUACAAAGUAUAGAGGGGUCAUGUGUGUCUACCUUGCAUACUGUAUAACUUGAGAAAUUGAACCGAGAACCCAGUUUCCAAUGACGACCGAAUGAAACUGUUGGACUACCUUCACAAGUUGUUACUAUUGAUUUGUCAAACCGGCUGUGUGAGGUUAUCCGAACAUCGGACAAAUGGCCGGGUUCAGGGUAUGUGCGCAGAUACAGAAAUCCCCUCAUCUUCAUUUGCGGUCUUGCAUUCGCCAAAGAAGAAAUGGAUGAGAUGUAAAAGAUUCCUCAUUCCUCAGCCGCUGUGCUACCUUCCAGUCAAUGAAGUUGGGAAAGAACACAGCACAGGGAAUAAAAAAUACCCAUUGAAUGAGGAGUGUGGUCUUCAAAUGGGGGUGCGGUGUAUGCGGGGGGGUG
ensembl:lncRNA